rnacentral:rRNA from 1 species
AUUGAACGCUGGCGGCAGGCCUAACACAUGCAAGUCGAGCGGAUGAAGGGAGCUUGCUCCUGGAUUCAGCGGCGGACGGGUGAGUAAUGCCUAGGAAUCUGCCUGGUAGUGGGGGAUAACGUCCGGAAACGGGCGCUAAUACCGCAUACAUCCUGAGGGAGAAAGUGGGGGAUCUUCGGACCUCACGCUAUCAGAUGAGCCUAGGUCGGAUUAGCUAGUUGGUGGGGUAAAGGCCUACCAAGGCGACGAUCCGUAACUGGUCUGAGAGGAUGAUCAGUCACACUGGAACUGAGACACGGUCCAGACUCCUACGGGAGGCAGCAGUGGGGAAUAUUGGACAAUGGGCGAAAGCCUGAUCCAGCCAUGCCGCGUGUGUGAAAAAGGUCUUCGGAUUGUAAAGCACUUUAAGUUGGGAGGAAGGGCAGUAAGUUAAUACCUUGCUGUUUUGACGUUACCAACAGAAUAAGCACCGGCUAACUUCGUG